UUGUUUGAUGAAAGUAUGUUUAGGAUGUACUUUCGGCUGAACAAAAUCCAAUUUGAUUAUGUAUUAAGUUUAAUGCAAAAAAACAAUGCCAAAAAAAGGGAGAAUAACCUUGAAGGAAAAAUUAGCAUUAAAACUAAGGUUCAUGGCAACAGGAGAAACAUUCGCAUUUUUGUCCUUCGCAUUUCGAAUAUUAUCCUCUUAUAUUUUACAAAUCGUUAAAGAAGUUUUCAAACAUUUAAUUAUUAAUUUGGUGCCUAUUUUAAUGCCUAUACCAAAGAAAAAUGAUUUCAACCUUGUAUCCGAAGGUUUUUGGAAUAAAUGGCAAUUUCCCAACUGCACCGGUGCGAAUUAGUGGAUCUUUGUAUUUUAAUUAUAAGGAGUUUUAUUCCAUAAUUCUCCUGGCUACCGUAGAUCAUAACUACAAGUUUAUUGCUGUCGACGUUGCUUCCUAUGGCAAAAAAGGAGUGGAAUUUUCCAAAAGUCACAAAUGGGAAAAAAAAUAAUAAACAAUGACUUUAAUUUCCCUGAUCUUCCUGGAUCUAAUACAAAAUUGGCACAAUUUUUGGUUGGAGAUGAAGCAUUUAGUCUUGAUACGUCCCUACGCUAUACUUGGGUUACCGAACAGAUGGAGUAGUCACGUGAUCGUUCAGCACCGGAGGUGUAGCCUAGAGCCUCGAUAGGGUUCAUGACUUGGGCACAGCAUAAAGAAACCAGCAGUCUCACUCCGCUCGAAAAUGUAAGCGAACUAAUAGCAUCCUUAGCCAUGCCGCAGCCAUGUUCUCCGGAUGCCGAGCUCACUGUUUAUCAAACUGUGUUCAUAGGUGUAUCGCCUAGUUCAGCGCCGUACUUAGUGACUAUUUUAAUAGCAUUUUUACAAAGCGUAGCGUUUUUUAUAAAAACUUUUGUAUUAAAAGAGGGAUAUGUUAAAAAUUAUUAAUGAAGCAAAAUAAUUGACUUUGCCAAAGUUUUUAAUAGCUGCAAAUUUGGCUGUAUGGCUUAAAUAACAUAAUUAAGCAUCAAUUAAAGUUGCAGCAAUGUAAUUUUUUUUUUUUUGAUUUUUAAGGACAUUAUUUAUAUUUCUGCCAUUUUAACAGUGUUGCCAUAUUUAAAAGAGUUGCAAAAUUGUAUACUUUUACUUUAGUUGGUACUUAAUAAUAUAACAAAAAUUCGCAGAUUUAACCCAACUAUUUGUCUUUAUUUAUUGGCCUAAGAGUUUCUAUUUGUUUUGAAAUAUUACUUUAUUUGUAUAAUUAGUUAUUCUUAAACUACUAUGUAGUCAGAUGUUAAUCUAAAAGCGUUACUAUACAGGGUGUUAAUUAAGUAUGUACCAUAAAUUAUUUAACAGGCGAUUGUUUGAGUAAUUUUAAGACAAAAAGUUCAUAUGAACAUAGGUCCGCAAGUUCUCUGGCGGUGUUAUUUAUAACAUUAAGGAGCUAAUUUACCCCUAACAUGAUUAAAUUUAUUAGGUUCAGUGUAAUCUCGAACGGGACCUGAAGAAAUAUUUGUGGCAAAAAAAUUGGGGCGCCUGAAUUUUGUGCCAUUUUUAAUAUGUUAUUUGAUUUACUCAAAUACAAAUACAAUUUUUUCGUAUCUCGCUUAUUUUUCGAGAAAAAAAAAGUCCACUUAAUUGCAUAUCCCUGGAUCACACAAGGAAUUUGGGGAAAAGUUUCAUUUGGAAUUUAUUAUUAACUAAGCAAGAUACGAAAAAAAUUCAAGAGACAGAAAAGUUUUAUUUGUAUAAUCCACAGAACAUAAUAAAAAUUGCACAAAAGUCAGUGACAUAUAUUUUAGUUGUUGUUAAAUUUUAACACCCUGUAUAUUGAGAACGAAGAAUUUCUGGACAUAUGUUUAUAUGAACUUUUUGUUUUAAAAUUACUCAAAGAAUGGUCUCUUAAAUUUAUGGUACAUACCUAAUUAACUUCCUGCACGUAUUCUUCUAUAUCGUCGUUGUUAGAUGUAGAAAUGCGAUGUUUAUUUUUGUUUAAAUAUUUUGUUAAUGUAUGAACUUUAUUUAUAUUAAAAAAUCAAUAUUUGUAGUAUGUAGGUAUUUUUAUUUUACAAGAUAAUAACAUCUAAAAAAAUGUUUAAGUCCGGCUCUAGCCAAGGCAAAAGCCGCGUGGACCGUAGCAAGUGUCAGCGGCAUCCCUACUAUAAGCAAAAAUGCCUCGCCUGCGUUAGUACACAUGCACCAAACUCGCUUAUUCAAGCCAAUGUAUUUUUAUUGAAGUGCGACUGCUGGUUUCUUUAUGCUGUGACUUGGGUUUUUAUUUAAUUUUAUUAGUCGAGCGGCUUUAGAUCGUUUUGGUUGAAUUUUCUGCUAUUCGAAUAUUUGAAUCUUCGCAAUAUUGAAAAGUUGGGAUUGUGUUUAUUUUUUUGUUAAUUUGUUUGUUAACAAAUAAUGUCUGACGCGCCACGUACAUCCCCAUUGUCACCCCCCAAGAAAAGAGUAGGAAAACAUUUGACCAUUGCUGAAAAGGAAGUUAUUAUGAACAUAUAUAAAACAUCCAGCAAAAAGUCCAGUUUACAGCAGAAGCAGCAGGAUUUUUAGAACCUGCACAACACCUGUAUAUCAAUGGAACCAGGAGGAAAAUUUACCUCAAAAUGUCUUAGCAAUGCAUGGGCGAGGAGUCUUUUCGAAUAGUAAUGGAUUAGCAGUAAGAUCAAAAUUAACCGAGUAUUUUAUGACGCAGCAAGGAGCAGUGAAGUAGCAAGAACAACGUGUUACGCGUCUUAAAUAGAUGUUUUAUUUUUUUAAGUCUAUAAUUACAACUAUGUCAUAAUUGUUAAAUAAAUGUGGAUAUUUAAAAA